rnacentral:misc_RNA from 1 species
GUAACAAGGUCUCCGUAGGUGAACCUGCGGAGGGAUCAUUACAAGUGACCCCGGCUACGGCCGGGAUGUUCAUAACCCUUUGUUGUCCGACUCUGUUGCCUCCGGGGCGACCCUGCCUUCGGGCGGGGGCUCCGGGUGGACACUUCAAACUCUUGCGUAACUUUGCAGUCUGAGUAAACUUAAUUAAUAAAUUAAAACUUUUAACAACGGAUCUCUUGGUUCUGGCAUCGAUGAAGAACGCAGCGAAAUGCGAUAAGUAAUGUGAAUUGCAGAAUUCAGUGAAUCAUCGAAUCUUUGAACGCACAUUGCGCCCCCUGGUAUUCCGGGGGGCAUGCCUGUUCGAGCGUCAUUUCACCACUCAAGCCUCGCUUGGUAUUGGGCAACGCGGUCCGCCGCGUGCCUCAAAUCGUCCGGCUGGGUCUUCUGUCCCCUAAGCGUUGUGGAAACUAUUCGCUAAAGGGUGUUCGGGAGGCUACGCCGUAAAACAACCCCAUUUCUAAGGUUGACCUCGGAUCAGGUAGGGAUACCCGCUGAACUUAAGCAUAUC